rnacentral:rRNA from 1 species
GACGAACGCUGGCGGCGUGCUUAACACAUGCAAGUCGAACGGAAAGGCCCUGCUUUUGUGGGGUGCUCGAGUGGCGAACGGGUGAGUAACACGUGAGUAACCUGCCCUUGACUUUGGGAUAGCUUCAGGAAACUGGGGCUAAUACCGGAUAGGAGCUCCUGCUGCAUGGUGGGGGUUGGAAAGUUUCGGCGGUUGGGGAUGGACUCGCGGCUUAUCAGCUUGUUGGUGGGGUAGUGGCUUACCAAGGCUUUGACGGGUAGCCGGCCUGAGAGGGUGACCGGCCACAUUGGGACUGAGAUACGGCCCAGACUCCUACGGGAGGCAGCAGUGGGGAAUAUUGCACAAUGGGCGGAAGCCUGAUGCAGCAACGCCGCGUGCGGGAUGACGGCCUUCGGGUUGUAAACCGCUUUCGCUUGUGACGAAGCGUGAGUGACGGUAAUGGGUAAAGAAGCACCGGCUAACUACGUG